rnacentral:rRNA from 1 species
AACGAACGCUGGCGGCAUGCCUAACACAUGCAAGUCGAACGAGACCUUCGGGUCUAGUGGCGCACGGGUGCGUAACGCGUGGGAACCUGCCCUUAGGUUCGGAAUAACCCCCCGAAAGGGGUGCUAAUACCGGAUAAUGUCUUCGGACCAAAGAUUUAUCGCCUUUGGAUGGGCCCGCGUUGGAUUAGCUAGUUGGUAGGGUAAAAGCCUACCAAGACGACGAUCCAUAGCUGGUCUGAGAGGAUGAUCAGCCACACUGGGACUGAGACACGGCCCAGACUCCUACGGGAGGCAGCAGUGGGGAAUAUUGGACAAUGGGCGAAAGCCUGAUCCAGCAAUGCCGCGUGAGUGAUGAAGGCCUUAGGGUUGUAAAGCUCUUUUACCCGGGAUGAUAAUGACAGUACCGGGAGAAUAAGCUCCGGCUAACUCCGUG